rnacentral:lncRNA from 1 species
GACUGAGGAGAGCCAGCUGCCGGGGGCCGAGGCCUUGGUCAGCUCAGCAAGCUGGUCCCAUGGGGACUCUGAGAGGACGGGCUGCUCCCUAAGGAAACUCGAGUUUUGGGUCAGUCUGAUCCUACUAGACGUCAUACGAGACACCAUGCAAGUGACCUCUGCUCUGACUUCUGCCUGAGCACUUGGCUCACCAUUCUCUCCUCACUUUUCCCCACCACCCUACUGGAAGAAAGAGAGAACAGCCAGCCUCCAGGGCCCUUCCUUUCCCUGGCCACCUUCCUUCAGACACAGCAUGCUUGGAUUCAGAAAUCUAAAACUUUCCUGGAAAUGGAGAGUCCUGACAUGAUGGCCCCAUGAUGAAAAUAACCCAGAUUCCUGAGUCACCAUGUGGACACGAGGCACCAAGGAGAAAACGUGUGAACCUCAGUAAGUUUGGGGUGAGAGGUAAAUAAACUUUAAAUAUGUUAAGCUUCUGUCAUUUCAAGGUAAU